rnacentral:rRNA from 1 species
CCCUUAGAUGUUCUGGGCUGCACGCGCGCUACACUGUCGGAUUCAGCGAGUCAUAUCCUUAACCGAAAGGUUUGGGUAAUCUUUUGAAAGUCCGACGUGAUGGGGAUUGAUCAUUGCAAUUAUUGAUCAUGAACGAGGAAUUCCUAGUAAGCGCGAGUCAUCAGCUCGCGUUGAUUACGUCCCUGCCCUUUGUACACACCGCCCGUCGCUACUACCGACUGAAUGGUUUAGUGAGAUCUUCGGAUUGGCGCCUACGCGGCUUCUCUGAGGCCACGCUGGAUGCCGAAAAGUUGCUCAAACUGUAUCAUUUAGAGGAAGUAAAAGUCGUAACA